ACUGACACCAUCAACAUCAAAAAUUGAGUUUUGCGCGUGCUUUUUCGGUACUUCGAGUGAGUUUUUUUUUUCAAUUUAAACAAUAUACGUACAAUUAAUGGACAAAAUUGAUUUAAAUUUGCAUCAUGAGUCAUAUUUGACGUAUGCGAACACUAUUUUUCGCGAAUCACGUGUACGGAGUAAUAAGAUUAGGACUCCAUUAGUCAUAAUCAUAACUCAUCUUCUGGUGUUGCUGUUAUCUUUUACACCCAUGUUAGCUCGAACUUCAUGGACGUUUUGGGUAAGUAAACCAGUAAACGAACACGUUGUAACUUGAGUGUACUCAUACCUGUAAAGCAAACAUGCCCAUCGUUACUAAACCCAUCCAGCUGUGUAGAGUAUAGAAGUGUGUUUCUCCAGACAACAUUUUCUUGUCGAAAACUGCGAAAAAUCCCAAACCAAUGCAUGGGAUGGCCAAUAUAUGGAAAAUCGUGUGGAACAGUUUCACGAAAAUAUGCCUGCAGCAUCGACUUAUUCUGUACAACAGCAU